ACGACCUGGUGGCCAUUGCGGGGAGCCUGCACCCGAUCCCAUCCCGAACUCGGCCGUGAAAAUCCCCAGCGCCCAUGGUACUGUGCCUCAAGGCACGGGAGAGUAGGUCGCCGCCAGGUCCUCCAGCC
rnacentral:rRNA from 1 species